AAUUAUGGAAUGGAAAUGUGAUUGAUAUUAUUUGAGAAGAAGAAAGAUUGAAUGCUGAAAUCUAAUUGUAGUUCAACAGAGAAAAUGAUUUUGUGUUUGUGUGAAACACUGUAAUGGGAAUGACAGUUCUGUGUGAAGAAUUCCAGUAAUUGGAACGAGGGUAAUUGUGUGCUAAAAGCUGUGAGGGCGUAGUAUUACAAUUGGAGAUUAUGAGGAUGAAUAUAUUGGU
rnacentral:lncRNA from 1 species